GCCAGUGUAGCCCAGUGGUUUGAGUGUUGGACUGUGACUCCAGAGACCAGGAUUCGAUUCCCAGCUCAGCCA